rnacentral:rRNA from 1 species
GACAUGGCAGAACUUACCAGAGAUGGUUUGGUGCUCGAAAGAGAACCUGCACACAGGUGCUGCAUGGCUGUCGUCAGCUCGUGUCGUGAGAUGUUGGGUUAAGUCCCGCAACGAGCGCAACCCUUGCCAUUAGUUGCUACGAAAGGGCACUCUAAUGGGACUGCCGGUGACAAACCGGAGGAAGGUGGGGAUGACGUCAAGUCCUCAUGGCCCUUAUAGGUGGGGCUACACACGUCAUACAAUGGCUGGUACAAAGGGUCGCCAACCCGCGAGGGGGGAGCCAAUCCCAUAAAGCCAGUCGUAGUCCGGAUCGCAGUCUGCAACUCGACUGCGUGAAGUCGGAAUCGCUAGUAAUCGUGGAUCAGAAUGUCACGGUGAAUACGUUCCCGGGUCUUGUACACACCGCCCGUCACACCAUGGGAGCGGGUCUCGCCAGAAGUAGGUAGCCUAACCGCAAGGAGGGCGCUUACCACGGCGGGGUUCGUGACUGGGGUGAAGUCGUAACAAGGUAAGCGUAGUGCU